GCGUUUUUAGCUCAGUUGGUAGCUCAGUUGGAUAGAGCAACGCCCUUCUAAGGCGUGGGCCAGGGGUUCGAAUCCCUUAAAACGCACCA
rnacentral:tRNA from 1 species